rnacentral:rRNA from 1 species
AUUGAACGCUGGCGGCAUGCCUUACACAUGCAAGUCGAACGGUAGGGGGGCAACCCCUGAGAGUGGCGAACGGGUGAGUAAUGCAUCGGAACGUGCCCAGUUGUGGGGGAUAACGUAGCGAAAGCUACGCUAAUACCGCAUACGACCUGAGGGUGAAAGGGGGGGAUCGCAAGACCUCUCGCAAUUGGAGCGGCCGAUGUCAGCUUAGCUAGUUGGUGGGGUAAGAGCCUACCAAGGCGACGAUCUGUAGCUGGUGUGAGAGGACGACCAUCCACACUGAGAGUGAGGCACGGCCCAGACUCCUACGGGAGGCAGCAGUGGGGAAUUUUGGACAAUGGACGCAAGUCUGAUCCAGCCAUGCCGCGUGCAGGAAGAAGGCCUUCGGGUUGUAAACUGCUUUUGUCAGGGAAGAAAUCCCUUGGGAUAUUACCUCGGGGGGAUGACGGUACCUGAAGAAUAAGCACCGGCUAACUACGUGCCAGCCGCCGCAGUAAAAC